GGGACUUUCUGGUUAGCAUCAAAAUCAUUGACGUAAAAGAGUUUUCUGUUCCGUUACUACAGUCGCCGUUGGUGGUGCUUUAUCGAUGGCGUCGGAGGAUGUGGAGACGACGGAAUCGGCGGCGGUUUCGACGAUUCGUUAAUUUGGCGGAGGAAUCGAAUCGAAUUGGGCAAAGAGGCUGUCAAAUCUCCGAGCCACGCCAUCAUCUGCAAGUCUCUAAUCGCCAACGGAGUCGUUGCUGGUGGAGUGUAAGUCUUCACUCUUCACUCGUUUUGUAAAUUUUUGUUAUCUUCUGGUGGAAAUCAGGGAAAAAAAAAACACGAAAGAAUAGAUUGAUACAGUGAUUCUUAUAAUUCCAUUUGUCGUUGAGGGAUGUUUUAGGCAGAGAUCAUAUCCUUUUAGAUCCAUGGAGCAUCUCUGAUUUAUUUCCACCCAUUGCAAAAUGAGGUGCUCAAAGGACGUUUUAGGUGUCGAUUUUACAAUAUCACACUGAAGCUUGAAUAAAUUUCAAUACGACAUUCCUUCUUGUUUUGUAGCAAAGAGAAGUAAAUUAAGCAUAAUUUAUGCUCUUCUGCAUUGCUAGAGGACGAAGAUAGCAAAGCUUUUUUGUUUGGUUGUCUCUUUAUUUCUGCUACUGAAUCAAUAAGUCUUAGCUUCAACGUAUAUGAGCCUAUUAGCUGUAGGAACUCGGAUAGAGAAUUAUCAUUUUGGAGAACUUAUACUCACUGAGAGUGUGUAUGUGUGUGUCACAACAAAUGUUAGUAUUCUUUUUGACUCAUACAGCAUGUUGAAUCUCUUUUUUUUUGUUCUGUAAGUCUAGGAAAGCUCAGAGUCAGAGACAUGACCAGAGUUUGAUCGCCGUAUCUUUGGGCUCAUCAAUAUCAGUUGACUCUCAGAGUGCGUUCUCAUGCUUUGCCCACAAGGGCUCAGUGGGGGAUGCCUUGAUCGUCCUCCUCUGGGGGUUCCUGGACAGAGAACAAGUGCAAGAGACUUCCUUAGUACAAGUAAAAAUGUUCAAAAUACAUAGUAGAGUAGAGCCUCCAUAUAUAUAUAUAUAUAUAUAUAUUGACUGAUGAUAAUCACAUUCACACCUGGUUUUUGAAUUGGUUUCAGGCCAGAAGCUCUUUUCAAAAGCUUUGAAACAGGCUUCUUUGAGCAUGAAAGCCUCCUUUCCUUCUCAGAUGACACCUGCUCAUCUGAUCCAGCCCCACCCUCAUCCUCGCUACACGAAGCCCAUUCACUGCCCGAUUCAGAUGUGUCUC
rnacentral:lncRNA from 1 species